UACGUAGGGGGCGAGCGUUGUCCGGAAUUAUUGGGCGUAAAGAGCGUGUAGGCGGUUCGGUAAGUCAGCUGUGAAAGUCAAGGGCUCAACCCUUGAAAGCCGGUUGAUACUGUCGGGCUAGAGUCCGGAAGAGGCGAGUGGAAUUCCCGGUGUAGCGGUGAAAUGCGCAGAUAUCGGGAGGAACACCAAUGGCGAAGGCAGCUCGCUGGGACGGUACUGACGCUGAGACGCGAAAGCGUGGGGAGCAAACAGG
rnacentral:rRNA from 1 species